rnacentral:rRNA from 1 species
UACGAAGGGGGCUAGCGUUGCUCGGAAUUACUGGGCGUAAAGGGCGCGUAGGCGGCACACACAGUCAGGCGUGAAAUUCCUGGGCUCAACCUGGGGGCUGCGCUUGAUACGUGUGAGCUAGAGGACGGGAGAGGCUCGUGGAAUUCCCAGUGUAGAGGUGAAAUUCGUAGAUAUUGGGAAGAACACCGGUGGCGAAGGCGGCGAGCUGGCCCGUAACUGACGCUGAGGAGCGAAAGCCAGGGGAGCAAACGGG